UCCCUGCUGGUCCGAUGGUUAGGACUCUGCACUCUAAAUGCAGAGUGCCCAGGUUCAAUCCCUGGUUGGGGAA
rfam:TPA: Bos taurus chromosome 10, whole genome shotgun sequence.